GCGGCAUACUCAAAACAUCUUUGAGUAGUCAGUAUGCAGUAGGUACUGCUUGAGUAGGUAAGUAGAUAGUAGGCAGUAUGCCAUUUCGGACACAGCCCCAGAAGAUGAACUUCCGCAAUGCUUCCGCAAUUUUGCGGCAGAGAAUAACUUCCAGGUCAUUCUUGUAUUCAUUCAGCGGACGGGCUUUGCGAUGCCAGAACAGUAGGUGGCGGUAUGCACCUAAACUUUCUCACAGUUUGACUACUCAGUUAUAAGUACUUUUCAACACGCAGUGUCAUCCUCAAGGUUGUAUUUUGUAUUGUGCACUAAAAUUAAAUACAAACAACAAUUUCAGCAUGACAUGCCUGUUUUGCGGAGAUGGUUGUGCCUGUUGCUCUUGGAAAACAAUGCUUUGAACAGGUAGACAGUUUAAGUAAAUUAGAUGCCCUAAUUAACUGGAAGACAAUCAAUAUAUUGUACUUAAAGAUAUAUUGUCAUAUAUUGUCAUUACAGUUAUGGGGAAAUCUUUGCCCACUGGACGAAGGAAUGUCAGGAGCUUAUUGCUGGAAAGCAUACUCCAGUCUUCAGGCUUAAGAGGAAGGCCGAGCAGCAGGACACAGAGGUUAGAAAAUUGCCCUCUAAAAACAGUAUUAUCUCAGUGGGAGUCCUUCAAAAUGCACACAGUUGUAUGGAUCAACAUUGUUUCAAUGUAUUUGGUAAUUGAUGUUACUUUUCAAAUUGACUUGUCCAGGAAACCAUGACACAGAUGACAUCUGAUGUCCAAAGAGUGUGCAUGGCAGAUUCCAUGAAAUUCUGUGUCUACCAGACAUCCGACACCACAGGAGAGAGGUUUGUUGCAGACUCAAUUUAAUAAAUGCAAUUAUUGGGGCCUAUUCAGUGAUUUUCCAUGAAGUGACCACUUUUACAUGUAGUUUUUUUGCACGAAUCAUGCGGGAAAAUUAUUAAUACAUUCAAAUGUGCUGCAGAUGUAUAAUCAAUUGGAUAGCGUGUGUGUUUAAUAUUAAGUUUGUCUCUCAUUUGAUCAGACUGCUUUACCCUGAGGUAAAGUUUGUAAAAUGGGUCCAGUGCAAGACAUGCAGGGGCUGGCUGCAUCAAGAUUGUGCCGGAAUUGACAUGGAGCC